GGGCAAGUGCUGGAAUGGCAUACAGGCAAGUCUCAAAAACUUGUGGCAGUCACCUGCCGUGAGGGUUCGACUCCCUCCUUGCCCACCU
rnacentral:tRNA from 1 species